AUUGAACGCUGGCGGCAGGCCUAACACAUGCAAGUCGAGCGGAUGAAGGGAGCUUGCUCCUGGAUUCAGCGGCGGACGGGUGAGUAAUGCCUAGGAAUCUGCCUGGUAGUGGGGGAUAACGUCCGGUAACGGGCGCUAAUACCGCAUACGUCCUGAGGGAGAAAGUGGGGGAUCUUCGGACCUCACGCUAUCAGAUGAGCCUAGGUCGGAUUAGCUAGUUGGUGUGGUAAAGGCCUACCAAGGCGACGAUCCGUAACUGGUCUGAGAGGAUGAUCAGUCACACUGGAACUGAGACACGGUCCAGACUCCUAUGGGAGGCAGCAGUGGGGAAUAUUGCACAAUGGGCGAAAGCCUGAUCCAGCCAUGCCGCGUGUGUGAAGAAGGUCUUCGGAUUGUAAAGCACUUUAAGUUGGGAGGAAGGGCAGUAAGUUAAUACCUUGCUGUUUUGACGUUACCAACAGAAUAAGCAACGGCUAACUUCGUG
rnacentral:rRNA from 1 species